rnacentral:lncRNA from 1 species
GCCGUUAUUUUUUUUUACUCCGAAAGCCAAAACUUUUUUAAUGAUAACAAAUAACGUUUUCUUUUAUAUAUGUUUUCACAUGAUCUAACUAAAAUUCAAACAAUUACAUUGCAUAUUAAACAAACUUAUAAAAAGAGUAACAGUAUACUUUGUUUUGGUUGCUUAGAAAAAGCAACAAAAGAAAAAUUACACAUUUCCUUUUGAAAACUAAAAUUCAAACAAUUUUAUUACAACCGGAGUCCACAUCUACAGAAACAGCGAUUCAUAUAUGUAUGUAAUAUGCAGGUUUCAGAUUUUCUCGGCAAGCACACACAUACAGAUGCUUGUUAGGUCUUCAGGAGAAGAAAUAGGCAAGUGUAAUGGAGAGCGAGGGAACGGCAAAUCGGUCACCAAAAAAAGUGCUUUCGCCGGACGUGAUCGUAGAGUGACUAGUGGAUUUACGAAAGAGUUUUCAGGCGAUCCUCGUGAUUUGUUCAUCCGGUAAGGAGGAGAGAAAGAGAGAAGAAAAAAAAAGGAUAACAGUGUUUUUAAGCACAGCCAUUACAUUAUUUGAAUUUUUAGAAUUUUUCUUUUUGAUUUGAUUAAAUGAUAUAUUUUGUUUUAUUAGAAAAUAUUUUAUAUUUAAGCUUUAAUUAAUUAAUUUAUUUAGUAUUUUUUAUUUUAAUUUUUUAAUAUAAAUUAUAUGAAAAAUAAUUAAUUUAUAGUUUGUUAGUAUAAUUGUUUACCG